rnacentral:lncRNA from 1 species
CAAAGCUCUAGCAGCAUGGUCUAUGUCUCUUGUUUUUGUAGAAGUCGUUGAACGAGUUAUUGGGUUGAGUUGGUCAACAUUAAACAAGUCAUUGAGUUCGUUUACGAGAUUCCGAGGAGUAAUUGUUUUGAAUAAAUUUCAUGUAAACAAAGUCUUGGGAUUUUCUGUUUGAGUUGUGAGCUGUAUAUAUAGUCAUCGUUUAUUCUCAAUAAGAAAAAACACAGUUGCUUUAUAUUUUGUUUCAGUUUUUUCCUUGAUAUAUUAAAAUUCUUGAUACUCUUUUGCUCCUUUCAGAUGUCCGGCCUGAAUUCCGAUAAGCGUGACUUCUAUGGUGUUUAUCC